GGAAGGGUGGGUGAGUGGCUUAAACCAACGGUUUGCUAAACCGUCGUACGGGUUAAACUGUACCGAGAGUUCGAAUCUCUCCCCUUCCGC
rnacentral:tRNA from 1 species